GAGCAUAUGAUGAGAAAAAUUGGUAUUGAGUUCUGACCUAUACAUGGAGCUUCCAAAUUCGAGCUUUUUAAAACUGAUGCUCA